CCAGGAGCGUAGGGGAAGAGGGAAAAACCGGGCAGCGGUCACUCGGGAACCGGUCUGAGCACCCCGGAAGCGGCACCCAAGAAAGGCCGGGCCGCAGGAGGAAGAGUAGUAGGAGGCCACAACCUUGCUGCCGUUUUUCAUGACCAGUGCCAGGUGGAAGCGUUUCUUCAGGCUGCCACGGCUGGGUGAAAACUGAUCACAGAGGCAGAGUUGAGAGUCCUGUUGUUUAUGGAUUCUCUGGGAGAUCAUGGGUGUUUAGCAGAGAUACACAAUACAGACCCUCUUUGUAUCAGAUGCCGAAAAUGAGUCUGAAAGAGAAGCAGGGCCUUACUGAAGGCCCCAUAGUUGGGAAGCAGCAGGGCCUGGAUUCAGACCCAAGCCUGCCCUGCCUUAGGGCGAGCCCACAUUAUUUCCCUGGCAACGGGCAGAUUGCCUAGUGAGAUAUUUUGCCCCGGGGCUUCCUCUCCCCAGACUUAACACCAAGACGGGAAGGAGUCAUCUUAAUGGGAAAUCGACAAGCUUUGAACUUCCUUUCAUUGUAUACAAUGAUACACAUUGUAUAUCAAGUAAGUGGUUGCAGUUAAUGGUAGAAGCUAGGGUUUGUACAUAACAGAAUUUUUACCGACUGUUCAUUAAGAAAUUUUAACAACAUACAGAAAUGUAAUAUGGUAUAAAGAACUCCCACAUACCCAGCACCUAGUAUUGGCAUUCAUCUACAUUUUAUUUGUAUCUAUUUUCCUCUUGCACAUCUAAGCGUAUUUUUUCCUGUAGUUUCUUUUUUCUUAAGCAAAUCCAGAUGUCCUGUCAUUUUAUCAUAACUUUGCAAAUAUGCUAAAUUUUGGAGUUGUUGAUGUAUAGAUACAUGGUAUUUAAAACCCUGGGAUUUGCUAAAACCAAUCCCAGUCAAUGAGAGCAAAGACUAGGCCCUGGGGCCUCCCACAUUUAGGAAUGGGGAAAGGACAGGAUUGUAGAAAAGGGCAGAGAGGGAGCAGGGACAGCAGGAGGGGUAAUGACCUGGUGUCUGCGGAACAAGAUCUUCCAAAGAGGUGGAGAUGAACUGGGGAACAAGGGUCUGGGCCGUAGCUAGAGGUGGAUGUGGGAUCCACCCAGAAAAAAACAUGUUUUUUUUUUAAUCCCCCAAUCUAACUAUGUUAUAAAAACUUACCAAUAUCAUAAUGCAGAUUCUAUAAGGAAAAGUUUUUAAGUUCUUUAACUUUCUUUUUGGCGAGGUGUAAUUUUAAUAUGGCCAAGUACCCCAAGAACACAGAUCUUAAAGGUACAGGUCAAUGAAUUUUUGCAAGUAUAUAUACUCAUGUAACCACUAACCAGGUCAAUAUGGAGAACGUUUCCAACAUCCCAGAAAUUUCUCUUGUGCCCCAUCCCUGGCAGUCCUCCCACUCCAGAAGCAACCACCGAUCUAACUGUGGUCACUACUGAUGGGCUGUGCCUGCUCCGGAACUUCAGGACAGCAGCUUCUUGGUCUGGAGCAUAUCAAUCAAGACUGCCUGUCCGGCUCCUAAGGAUCCACAGCUUCAUCCCUAAAGGGGUGUGAGCUUUUAUGGGGAUUGAAUUCUCUCUUCUUGGCUGGAUAAUCUUCGGAAAUUAUGACCUACCAAUUCUGGCAGACCUAGGCUGCCACCUCGUCACUGAGACCUGCCAUACGGUGUAGGAGCCUGUGUCUGUGAUUGUGUUUACCAUGGCUUGGGUGCCAACGGCCACUGUUUGAAUUGUCGCGGACUAAUGAGAAAAAGCAAAGGCCAAUGGAGAAGCAAAAGGCACUGUGAGCCAAGCCAAGGGAGUGCGAUGUCACUGUCCCCAUCCCUGAGCUCUGGCCAAAUCAAGUGGUCCCAGCAGAAGGAGGGCAAACUCAGUCACAUUUUGGCCCCACAAGCCAGCCCAGUGCAGAAGCACUGGGGCCUGGGGCCUCUCUUCACAACAGCAGCAGAGAUUGAGUUACUGAAACAAGGUCACCUGUGUCAGUGCUGUAAUUAACAUUUAUUGGUUUUGCCACUUAUGUUUGAACUUGGUUUGUAAAUUUGCUUUGGUUUUAUUGUUAAACAUAUAAGAGUCGUAGUUGGAAGGAAUUUUAUAUCCGUCCACAUAAGUGACU